UCCAGCAGCCCCGCACCCUGCCCCCUGCCGCCCGACGCCGGCCCCAUCCACUCCUCGCCGGUUCCCUCCCCCGGCAACCACCUCCCCUCGGGGAUUCCAAGAUCGGGAGGGAGGAUCGGAGCCUUAGCUAGCCACCUCCCCGAUCCCCUUUCUCUCGUUCUUCUUUCCCUCUCCUAGAUCACCUCGCUAGGGCUUCUCCCCCCUCCACGAUCUAGCAGCCGCAGCGGCCAGCGAGGAGCAGCACCAGCAAUGGCAUCCGGCGGUGGCACGCUUGGAGCAUGGACAUCGACAGGGAGGAGGUCAAGGUCUAGAUCUGAAGCAGCGCGAGCCGCUGCUGGAGGCGGAGUUGAAUGUGCUCUGCCUCAUGGCCAUGGAGAUCCUCGUUGAGGAGAGCAACGUCCACCGCAUCGAACCCCGGCCCAUCAAGAUACGUGAAGAACCACCAUCAUAUUCAACAUCUGUCCUACAGAAGCGUGAGUCGUUUGACAACCCCCAUGCGGGUGUGGGAGUCGAAGUUCUGGAUCACACGAGGAUACUGAUAAGAGUUCCAGUUUCGGGAAUCCUCAAUCCGGGAAAGCAUUGUAUGACUUCACAAGGUGGCGAUGACGAGCUGAGUUUGAACUCUCGAGAAGAUGUCGAUCGAAUAUGAGGUUGAUGGUUGGUACUACGUAAAGAAAAAUAGAUCUAGAAGGGAUGGGAAGAUAGCAGGUCUGGUGCCUGCUUUGUAUGUGAGCUCGUGAUAGCAAUGAACCUUGUGAAAUACUACUCUGAGAGCGGUUUCUAUUGAAUUUGGUAACUAAUAUGGUAUCGAUAAUGAAGUAGUUAUAAGAGUAUGUGGUCAAGUAGAAUCACUGUCGACUUCAGGAACGGCUGUCGCAGAUGGGUAAAGGUACAAAUUGCUCUGGGGGUGGAUCGAAGAUGGACUUUGGCUCGUGAUGCCGGUUCAAGUUAGUGCUUGCACAUCCCAUCCUGCUCAAGGCUACUUGAUAUCUCGCUCACACCUAAGGUGCACAUGUUCUCCCCCUUUCCUCCAGCGUGAUUUGGCCGAUCUAUGUCCAGGAGCGAGGUUGGAGGCGCACUGGUCUAGGGCUGUCCAUGUUGUGAUGUUACUUUGAUUCAUUCACCUUUUGUUAUUCAGAUCCUUUUUUUCCGAUCCCCAGCUACCCGGUUUAUCUUGUUAUGCUGGAGGUUUUGCUGCUAUCUGGCAAUAUUGUAUAUUGCAUAUUUUAGGCUGCAUAUUUGUGUUUUAUGAAACAACCAAUCAGGUUUUGAAAUUUAUUUACCCAUUUGGUCAAAUCUGUAAAGUUAUUAGGAUGGUUAUGUGAAUAAUGCAGAGAAACAAUAUUUUACAUGACAUGUUGCAUCUACUUUUUUAUAUACCUUCUACAAAGAAAUUUCUUGGCAGCUAUAUCCUUCCCGUUUUCAUUGUUUUUAUGCAUUGAAAAUUUACUUUCAGGCACAAUAAAUCCUUUGCUAAUUCUGAUGCUUAUGCAUAACUUCAUCUAGCUGCCUUUUACAAUACACAUUUUGUGACCGGUGUCAAAAAUAGAUGUCUACACUGUGUCCUUUCUUGCAUCGCUACAGUGUGGACUCUAAUUUUGUUGGCCAAUCAAGGAACAAGGAAAUGCUGACGCAAUUUAAAAUGUUCUUUCUUGCAUUGCUAUAGUCUAGACCCAUUAUUGCUACAGUUGUGCUUUCUGUUUUCAAAGAGACGCCAUUAGAUCAAAUAAAUAGCCCAUAUUUUCAUGAUUAAAUUGUGUCCUUCGGUGUUCUCAUGAUACUACUAGGCUGCUCUAUUAAAUGAUAAAAGAUCGUUAGAUAGCCAGGAAUUUUACUACUGGUUUGAUGAUGUUGGGUGAUAAUAAUUACUGAUACUUCCCUUUAAAUAUGUUGAUUGUAUUUAAUUUGCAAUUUGCAGAAUUACCACUGUUCAUUACAACAAUUCAUUGAAAAUACCAAAAUUCUUCACAAGUUCCCUUCAGGCAGAUAAGAAGAGAAGAGAUGAUCAUAGGGAGUUGGGAUAACUGGUCCAAAUCAAAUCAGCUAACAGUGUGCUUCAAGAAGUUUAAGAAGAAACACUAACAUUGGCGCAUGCAGUUUGCCCCGUGUUCUAGCUGAAGUCAUCAACAAUCAAAUUUAUAGUUGAUAGAGCAAAUAUUGUAUUCACUUUCUGCUUUCACAGUGCAUGCAUGUAAGAACUGGUGUUUAUAUCACAA